rnacentral:lncRNA from 1 species
AUGCCCAUGCGGGACGUUGGCAGAAGUGGAAUCACACACUCCGGGGCCUUCUGUGUCGCCUCCUCUCGCCGAGCAUCGAGCAUCGUGCAUUCAAGGUCCUGGCCACUUCGGUUCCUGGGAGAGCCCUCCUCCUGGCUUGCAGUUGGCUGGCUUCACACGGUGGAAGGAGAGACAAGGCCAGAAAGACGUGAGGGGAGAAAACUCAUGUCCUCUUCCAAGGGCCACCCUCCCAAAGGCCCCACAGUCUCACGCCACCACACACACGGUGCAGCUGGAGCUUCUACACAUGGCCGUGUGUGUGUGGGGGGGGGUACACAGCCCCGCAGCCCCCGCAGGCAUGGCACGCCUCUUCUCUCCACCCACUGGGAGGGGGAGGACCCCCCGCCCCCGCCCCUGCCCGCCCCUCAGUGCAUCAUCGUCCGAGAAAGCCUGAGGCAGGUGUCUGAGCUCCGGGUGGACCAGGGCUGGUGGGGUCCAGGCAUCUGAGCUCCAAGGAGGGGAUCAGAGAGUCCAGCCCACUUCCCCCCCGGGGAGGGGCCCACACCCUUGGCCUCAGCAGGCUGCCCCCCGCUCCCACCCCCCAGGAGCUGUCGUCUGAGCUGUGGUCUCAGUGCCUGUGAGCCUGGGGCUGAGAGCAGGCGCUGGGCUGACAACCUCCCAGGACCUCCCGGUCUACUUCCUGGGGCCCCAAGGUUCUAAGAGAAGGAGACAACCACAGCAGCAAGACGGCCGCUGCGUGCAGGGGCUGCAGGUGCUGGGCUUUCUGACUUAAGUCUUUGCACGGCUACCUCCCUCCUCCAUGGCGGGCAGAAUGGCCCCCACCAGCCACAGCAGGGAGCCCCAGCCUCUGCGUGAGGUCCUUCCCCGUGACACAGGAGCUCCCGUGUCCCCAGGCCUCUGUUCACAGAGGGACCCUAGGUGGGGCCCUGCCCUGUCGGCCUCAGCCACUGAAGCCCCCUCGCCUUCCCCUGCAGCUUCUGGCUUCUGGCACCUCCCGGGACCUUGCCUGGCCCCGUCCAGGGCCUCAACCGUCCUUGGGGGCUGUGCUUCCAGCAGAAGCCCCUGGGAACCUGGGGACCCCUGGCUUAGAACCCCAACACCCCAGUUGCAGCUGAUGGUACCCUGGGCUAGAGACGUCGGGGCCCGAGUCAGCCGGCUGGUGGGGUCCACGGUUAGGGAAGUCUCCCCCGUGGGGCUGGGGCUGGACUGUGAGAGCCACAGAGUCUCUUAGCACAAAGCCUCACUCAGAGACGUGACCCACCCCAGGAGGGCUUCUGGCUGCGCCUGCGUCCCGGGGACGCCCAGCUCCUCUGAGUUCCCAUCUGGAGAAGCUCAGGGCUGCCAAGAGGAUCCACUGUGUGUUCAGCCAGCACCUGACGUGGGCCCUGCCCCUCCUUAGACUAGACUAGAAGGCCUUGCAGCUGUGACUCCUCCCCCAGAGGGGCCCUGACUGAUGGAGGCUGGCAGCUGGCCCAGCACAUCUGGA